rnacentral:misc_RNA from 1 species
GUAGGUGAACCUGCGGAAGGAUCAUUCAUAAUAAGUGUUUUAUGGCACUUUUAAAAAUCCAUAUCCACCUUGUGUGAAAUGUCUGUCGCUUGCUUUUUUCUUCGGAAAAAAGGGGCGGCUCUACAUCAACUCAUUUUAAAUACUUUGUCUGAAAACUAUUAUGAAUAAACUAAUUCAAAAUACAACUUUCAACAACGGAUCUCUUGGCUCUC